rnacentral:rRNA from 1 species
AGAGCGAACGCUGGCGGCAGGCUUAACACAUGCAAGUCGAACGCCCGGGCAACCGGGAGUGGCAGACGGGUGAGUAACACGUGGGAACAUGCCCUUCGGUUCGGAAUAACUCGGGGAAACUCGUGCUAAUACCGGAUACGUCCGUAAGGAGAAAGAUUUAUCGCCGAAGGAUUGGCCCGCGUCCGAUUAGCUAGUUGGUGGGGUAAAGGCCCACCAAGGCGACGAUCGGUAGCUGGUCUGAGAGGAUGAUCAGCCACACUGGGACUGAGACACGGCCCAGACUCCUACGGGAGGCAGCAGUGGGGAAUAUUGGACAAUGGGCGCAAGCCUGAUCCAGCCAUGCCGCGUGAGUGAUGAAGGCCCUAGGGUUGUAAAGCUCUUUCGGCGGGAAGAUAAUGACGGUACCCGCAGAAGAAGCCCCGGCUAACUUCGUGCCAGCAGCCGC